rnacentral:rRNA from 1 species
GACGAACGCUGGCGGCGUGCCUAAUACAUGCAAGUAGAACGCUGAAGGAGGAGCUUGCUUCUCUGGAUGAGUUGCGAACGGGUGAGUAACGCGUAGGUAACCUGCCUGGUAGUGGGGGAUAACUAUUGGAAACGAUAGCUAAUACCGCAUAAUAGCAGUUGAUGCAUGAUAACUGUUUGAAAGGUGCAAUUGCACCGCUACCAGAUGGACCUGCGUUGUAUUAGCUAGUUGGUGGGGUAACGGCUCACCAAGGCGACGAUACAUAGCCGACCUGAGAGGGUGAUCGGCCACACUGGGACUGAGACACGGCCCAGACUCCUACGGGAGGCAGCAGUAGGGAAUCUUCGGCAAUGGACGGAAGUCUGACCGAGCAACGCCGCGUGAGUGAAGAAGGUUUUCGGAUCGUAAAGCUCUGUUGUAAGAGAAGAACGAGUGUGAGAGUGGAAAGUUCACACUGUGACGGUAUCUUACCAGAAAGGGACGGCUAACUACGUG